UGAGGGUAACCGUUGGGUGUUGGAGAAUGACUCAUGUGGUCAGACAUUCCACCUGGAGAUAAAGUCAAUGAAACUAGUUUAGGACUUUUGACAUUUGGAUAGUCUCAACCAGAUGUUCCUUCAAAGUUGAAGAUAAUUACUUCCUAGUCCAAACCUCCCGCAGGACAACGGGGACGGGAGCGUGCAGUCCAGCGCGCAAACCUCACGACCAGGCAGAUUGAAAGAGUUUAACAUUUGAUGUUCAGUAUGAGUUUCCUAUGUAGGCCUAUUAACUUGAAUUAAAAUAUCAUCAAUCAUAAUAAAGCCUAUACUAAACUU